AGUGAACGCUGGCGGUAGGCCUAACACAUGCAAGUCGAACGGCAGCACAGUAAGAGCUUGCUCUUACGGGUGGCGAGUGGCGGACGGGUGAGGAACACAUCGGAAUCUACUUUUUCGUGGGGGAUAACGUAGGGAAACUUACGCUAAUACCGCAUACGACCUACGGGUGAAAGCAUGGGAUCUUCGGACCUUGCGCGAUUGAAUGAGCCGAUGUCGGAUUAGCUAGUUGGCGGGGUAAAGGCCCACCAAGGCGACGAUCCGUAGCUGGUCUGAGAGGAUGAUCAGCCACACUGGAACUGAGACACGGUCCAGACUCCUACGGGAGGCAGCAGUGGGGAAUAUUGGACAAUGGGCGCAAGCCUGAUCCAGCCAUACCGCGUGGGUGAAGAAGGCCUUCGGGUUGUAAAGCCCUUUUGUUGGGAAAGAAAAGCAGCAGGUUAAUACCCCGCUGUUCUGACGGUACCCAAAGAAUAAGCACCGGCUAACUUCGUG
rnacentral:rRNA from 1 species